GGCGAGUGUAAACAAGAGAAAGCUGGAUGCAGAAUGUCACUUUCCAGGAGAAAUGGACGAACGAUUAUUUAUUUGUGUAAGUUAAAGGCCAGUGUGUCGAGUUUGUGCGGACGUACUUACGGUGAUGAAAUAAUAAUAAUACAAAUUCUUCAUUAGCGUCAUUACAGCACGAGACAUCUCAAACUGCACGAGCUGAGAGGACGAGUGUUUGGAUAAAGUUAACGCUCUUCGGUGGAGUUUGGCCCAACAAGCAGCUCUCUGCAGAGCGGAACAUACAAACAUGGAGAGAUAGAGAGGUAGACCCCCCCACCAAGAACACACUGUUGCACCACUGCUGUGCAGUUAUCACUGCCAUGUGCAAUACUCACUGUAUUUAUAUCACUUGCUUUCAGAGUGGACACAAACGCACAAGAGUUCAACUGAGUUACAGGCAGCAAGAUCUGUGUAUUCAUCUUGGAUGCAACACAGAGUAACCACACCGACCUGAGACGCAUAACGUUUUUAAAUUCUUUCAACUUUCUCAGUGCAGUCUCACCGUUGAGAAGUGUUUGUGCUGUACUUUGUUCUAUCUGUACAUACUGUAUGAUGGCACAGUAAAUCUCAGGUCAUCAGUAUUGUAUUUAACCUCUCCUGCUCUCCUCGCUCAUUAAUGUAUUGUCACCUUGAUCUGAAGUCUGGAAAAACAAUAAAAAUUCCUCCUUUGCACUAAAGCGGUGCCGUGGCGCUCAUUAGCAGAA
rnacentral:lncRNA from 1 species